GCCUGGCACAGUUGAGGCCUCGUGUGGGCCCAGAAGGAAGGGGGCCCAGGCACAGGUAGAGCCUCGGGGCCCAGGAUGGAGGAGAACCAGGCUCAGUUGGGGCUGUGUUGGGGCCCAGGAUGGAGGAGGACCAGGCACAGUUGGGGCUGCUUUGGGGCCCGGGCUGGUGGGAGGCCCGGCACAGCCAGAGCCUUGUGGCUGCACUCCCUCUGUACAGUUCAACCUUGAUCCCUAACCUAAAAUGGUAACUGUAGUGAAAGGCAGUAGCUGAUCCAGCUGCUUUCCUGUGUUUUAAUUUUCCUAAGAAUGGGGAAGGACUCAAGCUAGUAAACAAAGACCCCUUUCUGAAGAACAGGACUCAGAAAGUAUUAGCACAGAGCAGAUCUCCCCUUAGUAGGAGAGAAGUAGAGAUUCUUCCCCUUAGACAGGCAGCCCUUAAAUGAGGGUGGGGAGGGCUGGAGCCAGGCUCCACCCCUUUUUGCCCAGGUGAAAUGCUUGCAGGUGUGCUCC
rnacentral:lncRNA from 1 species